AGAGUUUGAUCCUGGCUCAGAUUGAACGCUGGCGGCAGGCCUAACACAUGCAAGUCGAACGGUAACAGGAAACAGCUUGCUGUUUCGCUGACGAGUGGCGGACGGGUGAGUAAUGUCUGGGAAACUGCCUGAUGGAGGGGGAUAACUACUGGAAACGGUAGCUAAUACCGCAUAACGUCGCAAGACCAAAGAGGGGGACCUUCGGGCCUCUUGCCAUCAGAUGUGCCCAGAUGGGAUUAGCUAGUAGGUGGGGUAACGGCUCACCUAGGCGACGAUCCCUAGCUGGUCUGAGAGGAUGACCAGCCACACUGGAACUGAGACACGGUCCAGACUCCUACGGGAGGCAGCAGUGGGGAAUAUUGCACAAUGGGCGCAAGCCUGAUGCAGCCAUGCCGCGUGUAUGAAGAAGGCCUUCGGGUUGUAAAGUACUUUCAGCGGGGAGGAAGGGAGUAAAGUUAAUACCUUUGCUCAUUGACGUUACCCGCAGAAGAAGCACCGGCUAACUCCGUGCCAGCAGCCGCGGUAAUACGGAGGGUGCAAGCGUUAAUCGGAAUUACUGGGCGUAAAGCGCACGCAGGCGGUUUGUUAAGUCAGAUGUGAAAUCCCCGGGCUCAACCUGGGAACUGCAUCUGAUACUGGCAAGCUUGAGUCUCGUAGAGGGGGGUAGAAUUCCAGGUGUAGCGGUGAAAUGCGUAGAGAUCUGGAGGAAUACCGGUGGCGAAGGCGGCCCCCUGGACGAAGACUGACGCUCAGGUGCGAAAGCGUGGGGAGCAAACAGGAUUAGAUACCCUGGUAGUCCACGCCGUAAACGAUGUCGACUUGGAGGUUGUGCCCUUGAGGCGUGGCUUCCGGAGCUAACGCGUUAAGUCGACCGCCUGGGGAGUACGGCCGCAAGGUUAAAACUCAAAUGAAUUGACGGGGGCCCGCACAAGCGGUGGAGCAUGUGGUUUAAUUCGAUGCAACGCGAAGAACCUUACCUGGUCUUGACAUCCACGGAAGUUUUCAGAGAUGAGAAUGUGCCUUCGGGAACCGUGAGACAGGUGCUGCAUGGCUGUCGUCAGCUCGUGUUGUGAAGUGUUGGGUUAAGUCCCGCAACGAGCGCAACCC
rnacentral:rRNA from 1 species